UGACCUCAAAUCAGACAAG
rnacentral:rRNA from 1 species